rnacentral:rRNA from 1 species
AUUGAACGCUGGCGGCAUGCCUUACACAUGCAAGUCGAGCGGCAGCGCGGGGGCAACCCUGGCGGCGAGCGGCGAACGGGUGAGUAAUACAUCGGAACGUGUCCAGUAGCGGGGGAUAACCUGUCGAAAGAUAGGCUAAUACCGCAUACGAUCUACGGAUGAAAGCGGGGGACCGCAAGGCCUCGCACUGUUGGAGCGGCCGAUGUCGGAUUAGCUAGUUGGCGGGGAAAANCCCACCAAGGCGACGAUCCGUAGCUGGUCUGAGAGGACGACCAGCCACACUGGAACUGAGACACGGUCCAGACUCCUACGGGAGGCAGCAGUGGGGAAUUUUGGACAAUGGGGGCAACCCUGAUCCAGCCAUGCCGCGUGAGUGAAGAAGGCCU